rnacentral:rRNA from 1 species
CCUACGGGAGGCAGCAGUGGGGAAUAUUGGACAAUGGGGGAAACCCUGAUCCAGCAAUGCCGCGUGAGUGAUGAAGGCCUUAGGGUCGUAAAGCUCUUUUACCAGGGAUGAUAAUGACAGUACCUGGAGAAUAAGCUCCGGCUAACUCCGUGCCAGCAGCCGCGGUAAUACGGAGGGAGCUAGCGUUGUUCGGAAUUACUGGGCGUAAAGCGUGCGUAGGCGGUUAUUCAAGUCAGAGGUGAAAGCCCGGGGCUCAACCCCGGAACGGCCUUUGAAACUAGAUAACUAGAAUCUUGGAGAGGUCAGUGGAAUUCCGAGUGUAGAGGUGAAAUUCGUAGAUAUUCGGAAGAACACCAGUGGCGAAGGCGACUGACUGGACAAGUAUUGACGCUGAGGUACGAAAGCGUGGGGAGCAAACAGGAUUAGAUACCCUGGUAGUCCACGCCGUAAACGAUGAUAACUAGCUGUCCGGACACUUGGUGUUUGGGUGGCGCAGCUACGACAUUAAGUUAUCCGUCCGUCGGGUAGGUACGGUCGCGAGAAUUAAAACGUUAAAGGUAAAGUUAGUACGGCGUGAGACGUGCCGAACGGACGACGACGAGGGAGUAGG